CCAGUUUAUAGCUUCACGCAUAUAGUUCCCUUUCUGACUUAAGCAUUGGAGGGGCGACGAAAACAUACCUCAUUUCCUUUUUUUAGGAACCGAAAGACUACGAUCAUGCUCAUUCAAAGUCCUCAAGCUCGAAAAAUCAAUAUGUAUGAUUUUUGGUAGCAUCAGACAGAAAUACUAAGGAAUCGAAUAAUCAACUUCUAAUAAUAGUGAUUGAUGACAGUCAAAUGUAGUUAUCCCCAGAAUCAAGAAGGAGAAAAAGAAUUAUUUGCAAUUUGUUGGAACUCGUAUAGUAGUAUGAAAAAUCAGAUGAAGCCAUCAUUCUUGAAUCUUGAUAGUUGAAUGCUGAUCUCCUUUUACUUCAUUUUCUUUGUCAAUUUCUACUAUGAAUAGGAAUAAAUUUGGAUCAGAUUCUUUUUUCUUUUAUUUUGAAUGACGAAACAAAACGAAAGCCUUUUGGCAUUUGCUACGUAAUAAUUCGUAGAAGAAGCAAUUGUAACCAUAUUAGCCCGUUUGAGAAGCAUUAUUUUAAAAUAAUACAUUCUUAAAAGUGACUUGAUAUCAUUUCAAUUAAACAUUAUUCAAUAAAAUAAUUGUUAAGUGUAUUUUAUACACUUAUUCGAGACCUUAAAGCGAUAAUAUUUAGUGUUUAUCUAAUAAAUUAUUGUCUAAAUUGUUGUAAUUGAUAUUGAAUAGGUUUUGUCAAUAUUAGUACAAGAAGGUGGAAGAAACGAGAGGAAAAUCCGGAAAAAGAGCGAAAUCCAAAAGUUGGGGACCAAGUUGUAACAAUUCAAUAGUUGAUCCGGACUAUGAAUCGAAAAUUGAAAUGUUUGGAGGUCAAAUUGAAUAUUUUGGAAAGAAAAGCACUUGAAUUGAAUCAAAGAAGAAAUGGCUUGCAAAAAUAAAAGGGCUCAAGGAUUGAAUUACAUUAUUUUGAAAGACGGAGGACUUAAAGAAUAAUUUAAGUAAUAAUGGCUUAAAUUGGUGGUUGAUUGGACAUCUACAUGCAUGCAUGAAUUAAAAUCCUUCUUGAAGUGAAAUAAAAGGGCUGUGGUUGGCAUAAAAAACUAGAGUCCUUUUUACUCAAAUUUGGUGGUUAUUAGAGAUUUAUUUAUGAUAUAUACACGUGUAGAGAGAGAGAGAGUCCUUUUUUUAGUCAACAAUUGUGGCUACUAGGUUAAUAUAAAUAGAGACAGGAACACGGAAUUUGAGGAGCUUUGGGUUCUUCUUUAAAUAAAAAUUGCAGAUGCACGCAGGAAAAAAAAGAUAUUGAGGCAGCCACUAUUUUGAUAUACACGUACAAACACAUACAGGAAGAAGAAAAGGAGGCAGCAGCAAUACUAUGGCCUUAUUUGAUCCUCAUUAUUUUCUCAUUAAAAUGAAAAAUAUGAUCGUUCUCCAUCACAUCAAGUCACUAUAUUUGACUUUUUAUCUCUUGUGUGAGACCCAUAACGGUUAUAUUUUUCAUUCUCAUUUUUACAAUAAUGUGGCUCAAACGGGGGGUUAUAUAUAUUUUACACUCUUUGACCAGUUACAGGGAGGAAUAAUUUCGGCUUCCAGUAACUGAGAGAGAGAGAGAGAGCGCACGUGUAGCUAGCGAUGGAAAGGCAGUGGACGACUGGAACAAAAUUAGAAAUUAAUCACGUUCCGUCAAUUAUCGGUGAUGUCUUCCAUAAUUUAUUUUUUUUUCUUUCAUUAAUAUGCGUAGCUAAAUUUAAUUUUAAGGCAAACAAUGUAACCUAUUUGGGACUUUUAUUUCUUUUAUUUAAGAUUCUUGUUCUUUAAUAUUUUAUGUGUGGAUUUUAAUUAUGUUUUUAAUGCUUUGAAUUUUCUAGCCAAUUAUUCAAUGAUUUUGUGAACAAUA
rnacentral:lncRNA from 1 species